UGAACGCUGGCGGCGUGCCUAAUACAUGCAAGGCGAGCGAACGGACGAGAAGCUUGCUUUUCUGAUGUUAGCGGCGGACGGGUGAGUAACACGUGGAUAACCUACCUAUAAGACUGGGAUAACUUCGGGAAACCGGAGCUAAUACCGGAUAAUAUUUUGAACCGCAUGGUUCAAAAGUGAAAGACGGUCUUGCUGUCACUUAUAGAUGGAUCCGCGCUGCAUUAGCUAGUUGGUAAGGUAACGGCUUACCAAGGCAACGAUGCAUAGCCGACCUGAGAGGGUGAUCGGCCACACGGGAACUGAGACACGGUCCAGACUCCUACGGGAGGCAGCAGUAGGGAAUCUUCCGCAAUGGGCGAAAGCCUGACGGAGCAACGCCGCGUGAGUGAUGAAGGUCUUCGGAUCGUAAAACUCUGUUAUUAGGGAAGAACAUAUGUGUAAGUAACUGUGCACAUCUUGACGGUACCUAAUCAGAAAGCCACGGCUAACUACGUG
rnacentral:rRNA from 1 species